AGGACGAACGCUGGCGGCGUGCUUAACACAUGCAAGUCGAACGGAGCACCCGAAGAUGAAGCUUUUGCAGAAUCUUUGGAAUGCUUAGUGGCGGACGGGUGAGUAACGCGUGGGUAACCUGCCUCAUACAGGGGGAUAACAGUUAGAAAUGACUGCUAAUACCGCAUAAGCGCACAAUACCGCAUGGUAUAGUGUGAAAAACUCCGGUGGUAUGAGAUGGACCCGCGUCUGAUUAGCUAGUUGGUGGGGUAACGGCCUACCAAGGCGACGAUCAGUAGCCGACCUGAGAGGGUGACCGGCCACAUUGGGACUGAGACACGGCCCAAACUCCUACGGGAGGCAGCAGUGGGGAAUAUUGCACAAUGGGCGAAAGCCUGAUGCAGCGACGCCGCGUGAGCGAAGAAGUAUUUCGGUAUGUAAAGCUCUAUCAGCAGGGAAGAAAAUGACGGUACCUGACUAAGAAGCACCGGCUAAAUACGUG
rnacentral:rRNA from 1 species